AUAAUCAGUCUCUCACAGUCACAGACUAGUCACCACAUCUUCAGAAAGUAGUGGAGAGGCUGGCCACUCACCAUAAAUAAGAGAGUAAAACUUGGACUGAGAGCAGAGCAGACUGUUUAAGGGGAGGAGCAGACCUGGUGAUCAUAAACAGCAGAGAGGAACAGGUGUUUCUAAACAAAAUGGAAAAAGAUGUGCACUUCUGGAUUGGACUGACUCAGAGAUGGAAGGGUUCUGGAAAUGGGUGGAUGGAACAACAUCACCAACAGCGUUCUGGAGAAGAGGAGAGCCAAAUAAUGCUGAUGGGGAGGAGGAUUGUGUGGUUUUCAACAGGUUCAUUAAUCUGUCUUGGGACUGGGAAAUGAUUCAGUCAUGGAACGACCAGCCUUGCUCAGUGAGUACUCAAUGGGUAUGUGAGAGCAGUGUCAUAACAAAUCCAUCCACAACAGGAGAAUAAUAUCUGAAUUCCCUUUUGAGUUAGCAAUUGUAUUAUUAGUCAGCAAUUGUAUUGUUAAAGAUUAUUGUUGAAGUGUAAUUUAAAUCUAUUAUAACAUUAGUUAUGAUUUGUAAUGAUUGUUCUUAUGAUUAGUAAUGAUUGUUCUUAUGAUUAGUAAUGAUUGUUCUUAUGAUUAGUAAUGAUCGUAGCUAUGAUUUGUAAUGAUUUACUUCAUAUAAUUGCUUUUUAAGAACCAUAGUAUUAUGAAUGUGAAACUCCAACCUGAAAGCUAAUGUAGUGAAUUGACAUGCAGGGUCAAAUCUAAUCUAAUCAUCUAACAGUGAACUGUGAACAAGGCAAGUGCCAUGCUUCAAUGUGUUCAAUUUGUGGAUAACAUUAAAGACAUAUUCUGAACGCUAACAGAACAGAAAUGUUUGAAUUGUAUUGUACAUUACAGGCAUAAUUCCUCUGUCUAUGUGAUACAUAUUAUAAAUUAUUUUAAACCAAAGUGAAAA